CCUUCGGGUCGUAAACCGCUUUCAGCAGGGACGAUGAUGACGGUACCUGCAGAAGAAGCCCCGGCCAACUACGUGCCAGCAGCCGCGGUAAUACGUAGGGGGCGAGCGUUGUCCGGAUUUAUUGGGCGUAAAGAGCUCGUAGGCGGUUUGGUAAGUCGGGUGUGAAAUCUCCACGCUCAACGUGGAGGGGCCACUCGAUACUGCCAUGACUCGAGUCCGGUAGAGGAGUGUGGAAUUCCCGGUGUAGCGGUGAAAUGCGCAGAUAUCGGGAGGAACACCCGUAGCGAAGGCGGCACUCUGGGCCGGAACUGACGCUGAGGAGCGAAAGCGUGGGGAGCAAACAGGAUUAGAUACCCUGGUAGUCCACGCCGUAAACGUUGGGCACUAGGUGUGGGGAUCUAUCGACGGUUUCCGUGCCGAAGCUAACGCAUUAAGUGCCCCGCCUGGGAGU
rnacentral:rRNA from 1 species